rnacentral:rRNA from 1 species
UACGGAGGGAGCUAGCGUUGUUCGGAAUUACUGGGCGUAUAGCGUACGUAGGCGGUUACUCAAGUCAGAGGUGAAAGCCCGGGGCUCAACCCCGGAACUGCCUUUGAAACUAGGUAGCUAGAAUCUUGGAGAGGUCAGUGGAAUUCCGAGUGUAGAGGUGAAAUUCGUAGAUAUUCGGAAGAACACCAGUGGCGAAGGCGACUGACUGGACAAGUAUUGACGCUGAGGUACGAAAGCGUGGGGAGCAAACAGG